ACACAUCAUAUUGCUCCGGACUUCAACAAUUUUCUGACAUCUGAAGAGUACAAAGGAGGAGAUCAAAUUCAAGUUGGCAAUGGAUCAAAACUCAAAAGCAAUCCUUCUCAAAGGACCGAAUGAAAGCGGUCUCUAUCGCUGGCCUCGUCAAUCUCCUUCCAAUAAAGAGUCCUCUCCUUCUACUUUUGUCAGUUCACGUGUUUCUUCAGAUCUGUGGCAUCAACGUCUAGGACAUCCAAAUGAUCGAAUCGUGCAACAAGUUCUUCACAGAACCAAGCUUCCCUACUUGCCACGUUCUCAAACAAAUAAAUGUCAUGCUUGUUUUCUUGGAAAAUCCAGUCGUUUGCACUUACCUCCUACAUGUACUAGAAGUAAUGGUCUUUUGGAUCUUGUGUUUAGUGAUGUAUGGGGUCCGUCACCCAUACUCUCUUCUAAUGGUCAUAGAUAUUUUGUUUUA